rnacentral:rRNA from 1 species
UAGUAUUUUUAUUAAAGGUAAGGUCUGCCCUAUGAUUAUUUAAAUGGCUGCAGUAUCUUGACUGUGCAAAGGUAGCAUAAUAAUUAGUCAUUUAAUUGUUGACUUGUAUGAAUGAUUACAUGAGAAAUAAUUUUUAUUUAUUUUAAAAUUAAAAUUUAAUUUUUAGGUAAAAAAGCUUAAUUUUUUUUUAGGGACGAUAAGACCCUACAGAACUUUAUUAUUUUUAUAUUUUUAUAUAAUUUGAUUUUUUAUACAUUAAUUAAUAUUAUUAAUUUUUUAAUUGGGGUGAUUAGUAAAAUUUAACUUUACUUAAAAUCUUCAUUAAUUUAUGAUUAUUUUGAUCCUAUAUUAUAGAUUAUAAGUUUGAGUUACCUUAGGGAUAACAGCGUAAUUUUAAUGGGAAGUUCAUAUUUAUAUUAGAGUUUGCGACCUCNAUGUUGAAUUAAGGUUAAUAUAGGGGGUAG